ACGUAGGGUGCAAGCGUUAAUCGGAAUUACUGGGCGUAAAGCGAGCGCAGGCGGUUAUGUAAGACAGAUGUGAAAUCCCAGGGCUUAACCUUGGAACUGCAUUUGUGACUGCAUGGCUAGAGUGUGUCAGAGGGGGGUGGAACUCCACGUGUAGCAGUGAAAUGCGUAGAGAUGUGGAAGAACACCGAUGGCGAAGGCAGCCCCCUGGGAUAACACUGACGCUCAUGCUCGAAAGCGUGGGGAGCAAACAGGAUUAGAUACCCUGGUAGUCCACGCCCUAAACGAUGUCUACUAGUUGUCGGGCCUUAAUUGGCUUGGUAACGCAGCUAACGCGUGAAGUAGACCGCCUGGGGAGUACGGUCGCAAGAUUA
rnacentral:rRNA from 1 species